rnacentral:rRNA from 1 species
AACCUGGUUGAUCCUGCCAGUAGUCAUAUGCUUGUCUCAAAGAUUAAGCCAUGCAUGUCUAAGUAUAAAUAGUAUACAGUGAAACUGCGAAUGGCUCAUUAAAACAGUUAUAGUUUACUUGAUAAUUGAAUUCUACAUGGAUAACCGUGGUAAUUCUAGGGCUAAUACAUGCGGCAAAACCCAACUUUUCGGAAGGGUUGUAUUUAUUAGAUAACAAACCAAUAUUCCUUCGGGUCUAUUGUGAUGAUUCAUAGUAACUGAUCGGAGCGCGACUCUGUUGCGCUAAAUCAUUCAAGUUUCUGCCCUAUCAGCUUUCGAUGGUAGUGUAUUGGACUACCAUGGCAGUCACGGGUAACGGGGAAUUAGGGUUCGAUUCCGGAGAGGGAGCCUGAGAAACGGCUACCACAUCUAAGGAAGGCAGCAGGCGCGUAAAUUACCCAAUCCUAAUUCAGGGAGGUAGUGACAAGAAAUAACAAACCGGGUUCUUACGAACUUUGGGAUUGCAAUGAGCACAAUUUAAAUCUCUUAGCAAGGAACAAUUGGAGGGCAAGUCUGGUGCCAGCAGCCGCGGUAAUUCCAGCUCCAAUAGCGUAUAUUAAAGUUGUUGCAGUUAAAAAGCUCGUAGUUGAACUUCUGGGCGUUUGUACAGCGGCUCCGGUCGAGGUAUAGGCGUUCAUCCGUCUGAGAACCAUAUACGGCCUUUGGUGGUCGGUGUGAGGAUCAGGCACUUUACUUUGAAAAAAUUAGAGUGUUCCAGGCAGGCAAUCGCCUUGAAUACACAAGCAUGGAAUAAUGGAAUAGGACUAUGGUCCAUUUUGUUGGUUAUUGNGCUAUAGUAAUGAUUAACACGAACGGCCGGGGUGAUUUGUAUUUAAUAGUCAGAGGUGAAAUUCUUGGAUUUAUUAAAGACAAACUAAAGCGAACGCUUUUCACAAGAGCGUUUUCAUUAAUCAAGAACGAAAGUUAGGGGGAUCAAGACGAUCAGAUACCGUCCUAGUCUUAACCAUAAACUAUCCCGACCCUAGUCUUAACCAUAAACUAUUCCGACUAGGGAUUGGUCGGGUCUUUCAAGCCCGAUCAGCACCUUAUGAGAAAUCAAAGUCUUUGGGUUCCGGGGGGAGUAUGGUCGCAAGGCUGAAACUUAAAGGAAUUGACGGAAGGGCACCACCAGGAGUGGAGCCUGCGGCUUAAUUUGACUCAACACGGGGAAACUCACCAGCGCAAAACAUGGGUGGGAUUGACAGAUUGAGAGCUCUUUCUUGAUUCUAUGGGUGGUGGUGCAUGGCCGUUCUUAGUUGGUGGAGUGAUUUGUCUGGUUAAUUCCGUUAACGAACGAGACCUUAACCUGCUAACUAGUCUCCUUAUGAACAAUGGGGAGGACUUCUUAGAGGGACUAUGUGAACAAACACAUGGAAGUUUGAGGCAAUAACAGGUCUGUGAUGCCCUUAGAUGUGCUGGGCCGCACGCGCGCUACAAUGAUACGUUCAGCAAGUUCUAUCCUGGUCCGGAAGGAUUCGGGUAAUCUUGGCAACGCGUAUCGUGCUGGGGAUCGAUCUUUGCAAUUAUAGAUCUUGAACGAGGAAUUCCUAGUAAGUGCAAGUCAUCAGCUUGUACUGAUUAUGUCCCUGCCCUUUGUACACACCGCCCGUCGCUCCUACCGAUUUCGAGUGAUCCGGUGAACCUUCUGGACCGAAUUAGUCUUUACGUCUAAAUUGGGAAGUUAAGUAAACCUUAUCACUUAGAGGAAAGAGAAGUCGACACAAGGUUUCCGUAGGUGAACCUGCAGAAGGAUCA